rnacentral:rRNA from 1 species
AGAGUUGAUCCUGGCUCAGAACGAACGCUGGCGGCAUGCUUAUACAUGCAAGUCGAACGAGAAAGUCACUUCGGUGGCGAGUACAGUGGCGCACGGGUGAGUAACGCGUAGAUGAUCUACCCUUUCAGUCUGGGACAACUCUUGGAAACGGGAGCUAAUACCGGAUAAAACUUUCGGGUUGAAAGAUUUAUCGCUGGGGGAUGAGUCUGCGUACCAUUAGCUUGUUGGUGGGGUAACGGCCUACCAAGGCGACGAUGGUUAGCGGGUCUGAGAGGACGAUCCGCCACACUGGAACUGAGACACGGUCCAGACUCCUACGGGAGGCAGCAGUAGGGAAUAUUGCGCAGUGGGGGCAACCCUGACGCAGCAAUGCCGCGUGAGUGAAGAAGGCCUUCGGGUCGUAAAGCUCUUUUAUGGGGGAAGAUGAUGACGGUACCCCAUGAAUAAGCACCGGCUAACUACGUGCCAGCAGCCGCGGUAAUACGUAGGGUGCGAGCGUUGUUCGGAAUUACUGGGCGUAAAGGGCGUGCAGGCGGAUUGGCAAGCCGGAGGUGAAAGCCCGGGGCUCAACCCCGGAGGGUCUUUCGGAACUGCCAGUCUUGAGAGGGUCAGGGGCCAGCGGAAUUCCUGGUGUAGAGGUGAAAUUCGUAGAGAUCAGGAGGAACACCGGCGGCGAAAGCGGCUGGCUGGGGCCACUCUGACGCUGAGGCGCGAAAGCGUGGGGAGCAAACAGGAUUAGAUACCCUGGUAGUCCACGCCGUAAACGAUGGGCACUAAGCGUCCGACGGGUUCGACCCUGUUGGGUGCUGCAGUUAACGCGUUAAGUGCCCCGCCUGGGGAGUACGGUCGCAAGACUAAAACUUAAAGGAAUUGACGG